CAGUAGCCGCGGUAAAACGUAGGGGGCAAGCGUUAUCCGGAAUUACUGGGUGUAAAGGGAGCGUAGACGGUUAAACAAGUCUGAAGUGAAAUGCCGGGGCUCAACCCCGGAGCUGCUUUGGGAACUGUAGAACUGGAGUGUCGGAGGGGUAAGCGGAAUUCCCAGUGUAGCGGUGAAAUGCGUAGAUAUUGGGAGGAACACCGGCGGCGAAGGCGGCUUACUGGACGACAACUGACGUUGAGGCUCGAAGGCGUGGGUAGCAAACAGGAUUAGAUACCCGGGUAGUCCCUGUCUCUUAUAC
rnacentral:rRNA from 1 species